rnacentral:rRNA from 1 species
UACGGGGGGGGCAAGCGUUGUUCGGAAUUACUGGGCGUAAAGGGCGUGUAGGCGGCCAACUAAGUCCGACGUGAAAUCCCCAGGCUUAACCUGGGAACUGCGUCGGAUACUGGAUGGCUUGAAUCCGGGAGAGGGAUGCAGAAUUCCAGGUGUAGCGGUGAAAUGCGUAGAUAUCUGGAGGAAUACCGGUGGCGAAGGCGGCAUCCUGGACCGGCAUUGACGCUGAUGCGCGAAAGCCAGGGGAGCAAACGGG